AUGUUUCUGAAUUAUGGGAUGAGUAAAAUAUCAGCAAGGAAGUUUUCAAAAAAAAUGCAGUAAUACAGUUUAACAGAUCCUCCCAAAGAGAAAUGAAUGAUAGUUUAUGAUAUAAUUAACUCAAAGUAAAAUGGUGAAAUGUUUACAAACCAACAAAUAACAAGUAACUUGACUCGUAAUUGUAGACUUGAGUCAAGCAUAAAACUGGGCAAGGCCAACUUUAUGCUAACAGACUAACUUCACUGAUUUUCUGCUGGAUUUUUUUCAAGAUCACAUGAAUAAUGAUUUAUUUUCCAGGCGUCACCAAAUGUGGAACAUGAUUUAUGCUAACAGGCUUGGAUUUGUGGAACACCAGAAGAGCCACCACCAAAUUUCAGGGAUAAAUAUUCAUUUUUGGAAAUAUGUACUGAUGAAUGGAAGAAGUCAAUUUCAGGGGGAAAAAAAUAGGAACACAAUCUCUUCUAUAGGACUUUGUUGAUCACAGCAGAUUUCACCACCUACGAAGCAUAAUGUUUUUUUUUUCCAAUGUGAUGGAGACUCAUGACUUCUCAAUCACUAACUGUUGCUUAAUCUCUUUGUAUUGCUGCCUCUUCUUGUCAAAUAAUCUCCUACUUCAAAGGGUCAGGUCUUUGACGAGCAAAACCUGGCUGAAGAAGCAUGGAAGGAGCUGCAGCAGGUUCUGCAAUUACAUGACCUCUUGUUUUUCUUCCAUUUAGUGUAGUCACAGAUGGGCUGUUAGCUGUUGUUAUGUCCCAAAAGCUUCGUUUCUUUGUAGUCGGAACCGGUGACUUGAAGCGGUUACUUGGACUCUUCAAUUCACCCAUGUUUGAUUCCUUUGGUCGCAAGCUAGCCCUGGUAACCACCCUCUUUGCCCCUUCCUUUGGAACUCCUACUAAUGAUUUCUCACUCUUUCGAGAAAGCUCACGAAUACGUUCAUCCUUCUGUUUUAUCUGUAACGCAUGAUCUUUCUUCAUUCUCUCAACCUCUGCCUCUAAUGCCUUGAUAGUCCGCUGAAGCUCUCUAACUGUUUCUUCUUCUCCCUUUUUCCUGGAUUCAGGAGUGAAACAGUUCCUAGCUAAAAAGGAAGGCCUAGCUUUUCUUUUUUCAUUUGGUUGGGUAUUAGGAGUUAAGAGAGAGGAAAUUGAUGGAGGGGUUGGGGAGGCAUUUGCAGCCAAGGAUUGUGCUUGGAGGGUUAGUAGCUUUUGUUGCUGGCGAGCUAAUUGUACUCGCAAUUCACGGUUCUCUUUUUGCAGUUCAAGUAAUAGCUUGGCCUGAUCAGUUUCAGUUUCUGGCAGAUGUUGUAUUUCCACAUUUGCCUCGCAUGCCUUGGUUCGGAUCUCCUUUGCUCGAUCAGCCCAAUGCAGGGUGUUUUGAGUUUCACCAAAUGAGAGAUUGCUUGGACUGAUAUUUGCAAUCAUUACAGUGUUGCAAGCUCCUCCUAAUGAGUCCUUGAGAAGUUGAGUGAGCUUGGAGUUUCGGUAUGGUAUGUGUUUCUUACCCUCAACAAGGGCAUUGAUGCAGCUGCUUAGUGCAAGGAGCGAUCGAUUUAUGUUUGCACCCUCAAGUGAUCUAAGAGUUCUCUGAUCAGUUGCUAAGGCUCUCUCUGAUCCCGCAAGAUCAAUGAGUGAGAGCUUCCCCACUCUAUUGACAACAUUCAUUGAAGCAUCCUUAACUCGGUAUUCAACGACAACCUGCAGAAUAGCAUGUGAUCGUGAAGAGGUUUCAUUCGCACGAGUCGGUUCAGUUGUUCGGUUUUGAUUUCCCCGUUGAAGCAAUGCCAUUACUUCGUCUGUAGAAUAAGCUCUGUACUGAGUGAGGCCGGCUGCUAUAAUUCCCUGUUACAUUGGAACAAAUAUCAUUCAAGACAGUUCAAAUCUAUAAUAUGAACAAAUUAUAAACUUCAAAAACUUUAGGUCCUUGAGGAAAAUUGACAGGCCAUAGAUAACAAAAAAGUUGAACCUGGAAAAGAAGAAAUAGAGGGAAUGUUAACACAGUGUGACAGUGUCAAUCUAGCAAAAGCAUCAGAAAUUUUUAUUUUAUUUUCUGGUAAGCAAAAUAGAGGAAUAAAUUGAAUAUAAAAAAGAAGGCAGACCUGUUUAUCUUCUCUAAGCACUAGAGGCCUUCCAGGAGAGAGCAAAUCUCUGACAGUUUCAUUAUAAACUUCAAGAUAUGAAAGAUGAACAGCAUGGUUUCCAUCACAGCUCCUCUGUCUAAUCUUAGUGAAAAGAUCCUUAAUUGCCAAAACCAUCACUCCAGGAUUCUCCACUGUCCCUAGCAUUGUGUAUGUUUUCCCAGCACCAGUGGCACCAUAGCAAAAUACUGAUCCAUUCCUUCCUUGCAACACUGCUUCUACAAGCUCUACUGUCGUGGUAGAAUAAACUUCCUGUUGAGAAGUUGAAUCCGAAAACGAAGCAUCAAAGGUGAAAUGGCGUCCACGAACCCUCUUUAGCCUAAGAUAAUCAUUAUCAUUAGGAAACUCAGUCAAAUACACAUCUUUCCUAUUCACAAUCUUCACACAGCAGCGCAAUCCUGCCUCUCUUUCCUUCUUGAACAUAGGCCUAAGCCUCACAAACACUAAGAUGCGGCUUCCACUAGCCUCAUUUUUCUCCGAAACAGAUUCUAAUUUUUCCACUUCUAGCACAUUUUCUUUCCCAAGAAACUCUCUUGGCUCUGUUUGUGGCACUGAACUUCCCAUCGAAAGCUUCCUAGCGACUGUAGUCGAAACAUUGGCCUUUCUUGGAAACGAAGGGAACCCAAUAAAACGAUCCGGACCCAUCACAAGAUUCUCCUUAGCAACAUCCACAGGUGGCUGUGGCAACAGAAAGGUUCUUGUGACUGCUGAAUUAAGUUUCGCAUUAGGCAAUGUAGGCACCGUGGGCAUUGUGUUCUCUCUCAUUACAUUGUCUUGCUCAGAAUCUUUAGUUUCUUUAAAAUCUCUCUCGUUUUUUUUGCAAGAACUGAGGAGAUCCACGCUUGGAUGUGUCGAGAAUCGUUUCUCUUCAGGUUUGGGGGAGAGGUUCCGAAGAGUUGAAGAAGCUUUCUUUUGCUGCUCAUAUAACAGAGUCAAAGCUUUCAUCUUCUCUUUCAAGCCAUGGUGGGGAUUUCUCAAUGGAAAGCUCACAUGGGUCUCUUCUUGAUCCGAGCUAGGUCUUGUUCUUUGCACUGUGUUUGGACCAUUUUGGUCUUGGCUGUUGAUAUGAGACCUGGUUGACACUGGCAUUCUAAAUUUUCUAGCUAUUCAAACAUGCCUGUUUUUUUUCUCCAAACCAGUUCGAGUAACUGCUCAAAAUGCAAGAAAGUUUUGAAAUUUCCCUGGAAAGUUGAGUGAUUGAUGGGAUAUGGAACUGAGUUGAAGCUAAAAGGAGAAAUGGAAAGAGAGGGAAGAUCAAGAUUGCAACUUUGUGAGUUAAUUUUGGGGCGACUCGGAGCUGUUAAUUUGGAGUAAGAUCCGACGGCUA
rnacentral:misc_RNA from 1 species